UACGGGGGGGGCAAGCGUUGUUCGGAAUUACUGGGCGUAAAGGGCUCGUAGGCGGCCAACUAAGUCAGACGUGAAAUCCCCCGGCUUAACCAGGGAACUGCGUCUGAUACUGGAUGGCUUGAGUUUGGGAGAGGGAUGCGGAAUUCCCGGUGUAGUGGUGAAAUGCGUAGAUAUCGGGAGGAACACCAGUGGCGAAGGCGGCUAUCUGAGCUGAAACUGACGCUGAGGCGCGAAGGCUAGGGGAGCAAACAGG
rnacentral:rRNA from 1 species